AACGUAGGACGCAAGCGUUAUCCGGAAUUACUGGGCGUAAAGCGCACGCAGGUGGCUAGGUCAGUCGAUUGUGAAAGCCCUGGGCUUAACCUGGGAAUUGCAGUCGAUACUACUUAGCUAGAGUAUGGGAGAGGGCAGUGGAAUUCCCGGUGUAGCGGUGAAAUGCGUAGAUAUCGGGAGGAACAUCAGUGGCGAAGGCGGCUGCCUGGCCCAAUACUGACACUCAGGUGCGACAGCGUGGGGAGCAAACAGG
rnacentral:rRNA from 1 species